rnacentral:rRNA from 1 species
AAUGAACGUUGGCGGCGUGGAUUAGGCAUGCAAGUCGAGCGAGAACCCCGCAAGGGGGGACAGCGGCGAAAGGGACAGUAAUGUGUAGAUUAUCUGCCCUCAGGUCCGGGAUAGCUGCGGGAAACUGCAGGUAAUACCGGAUAACAUCUCCGGAUCAAAGGUGUGAUUCCGCCUGAGGAUGAGUCUGCAUCCUAUUAGCUAGUUGGUGGGGUAAUGGCCUACCAAGGCAUUGAUGGGUAGCAGGUGUGAGAGCACGACCUGCGUCAUUGGGACUGAGACACUGCCCAGACACCUACGGGUGGCUGCAGUCGAGAAUCUUCGGCAAUGGGUGCAAGCCUGACCGAGCGACGCCGCGUGUGGGAUGAAGGCCUUCGGGUUGUAAACCACUGUCAGAGGGGAUGAAAUGCAGGUGGGUUCUCCCAUCUGUUUGACAUAGCCUCAGAGGAAGGACGGGCUAAGUUCGUG